UCAGGCGGCUGGACGGUCGCGGUCACAAGUCCGGAAACGGCGUGAUCGAGGAAAGUCCGGGCUCCAUGGAAACAAGGUGCCGGGUAGCGCCCGGCGGGGGUGACCCCAGGGAAAGCGCAGCAGAGAGCAGACCGCCCUUCGACGUUUCGGCUGAGGAGGGUAAGGGUGAAAGGGUGCGGUAAGAGCGCACCGCCCCGACCGUAAGGAAGGGGGCACGGCAAGCCCCACCUGGAGCAAGACCGAAUAGGGAUGAGGGCAGCCUUGAGCUGCACGCGUGUUUCCACGUGUCAUCCGGGUAGGUCGCACCAGCUGUGUCGCAAGGCGCAGCGCAGAUGAAUGAUCGUCGCCCCGAGAGGGGAACAGAACCCGGCUUACAGGUCGCCUGACUAU
rnacentral:RNase_P_RNA from 1 species